rnacentral:lncRNA from 13 species
AUGCGCGGUGCCUGGUGGGGGCGGGGCCGGCGCGAGCGGGAAACCGGGACCGGGAAAAAACCGGGAGCGGGAAUUCUCGGGAACGGGACAGCCCCGGGAACGGGAAAAAACCGGGAGCGGGAAUUCUCGGGAACGGGACAGCCCCGGGAACGGGAAAAAACCGGGAGCGGGACCCGGGAACGGGGCAGCCCCGGGAGCCCCGGGAUGAGGCGCCGGCGUGGGGGCGGCGCGGCCCCGGCCGAGGCCUGCGGGGUGUGGCUGGACACGGCCGAGCUGAAGCGGGGCCCGGCGCGGCCCCCCAGCGCCAAGAUCAAAGCACCCACCCGAGUUCCCGAGAGGAAACGCACCCCGGUGCUGCUCCCACAGCCUGGCACCAAGCAAACCACCAUCCCCACCUUCUUCAGCUCCCACACAGAUGAAAGAGACAAAGAAAACUCCAGGCCGACUCCCUGCACCCCAAAUAAAGACUGUAAGGACACAGGGGUUCCUCUGGCUGCCUGCCCUGUGAAGAUCCUGGCCUUGCCACAGCUGGAGGGAGCCCGGGAAGAGCCCUCUGGAGCCGAGCAGGGGGUGCAGAGCACAUCACGAGCAUGGCAAACACCUCUGGAACCCCCAGAGCUCCAAAUGGAGUCUGAGAGCCAGAGCAAAGCCUCCCGUGGGGCUGGGGGGGAUUCCUGGUGCUGCAGCUUCUCCCAGGGCUCGGAGUACGAUGGGAUCAUCGCUCCCAGGAACAAAUCCUGGUUAUUUCCUGAAGAAACGGCCUCAGAGAGCAGGAAACCACAGCACUGGAGCAGAGUUAAUUCUGGCAUGGGUUUUGCUGGGACUGAGAACACCAAUCCUGUCCCAGGGGCUGCUCCCAGAGGGGUUUGUUCCUCUCCCCUCAAAGAGCGGGGCCAGAACACGGUGGGGGCCCAGGGGGGGUCCUGCAGGGAGCUCUUCUCCCAGGACUCCCAAGGGAACAGGGUCAUUGCUCACAGGGCCACGGGCAGCUCCAGCCCGAGGCAGAGCCAGCCCCGGGGGCUGCAGCUGGGCUCGGAGGCCCUGUUCACGCAGGACUCGGAAGGGAACAGGGUCAUUAAACACUGGUGA